UACGUAGGGUGCCAGCGUUUUCCUGAAUUAUUGGGCGUAAAGAGCUCGUAGGCGGUCUGUCUCGUUGGCUGUGAAAUCCCGAGGCUCAACCUCGGGUCUGCAGUCGAUACGGGCAAACUAGAGUAUUGCAGGGGAGACUGGAAUUCCUGGUGUAGCGGUGAAAUGCGCAGAUAUCAGGAGGAACACCGGUGGCGAAGGCGGGUCUCUGGGCAAUAACUGACGCUGAGGAGCGAAAGCGUGGGGAGCGAACAGG
rnacentral:rRNA from 1 species